rnacentral:siRNA from 1 species
UGAAUAUGGUGUCACACUGUUCAC